AACGAACGCUGGCGGCAGGCUUAACACAUGCAAGUCGAACGCAUCCUUCGGGGCGAGUGGCAGACGGGUGAGUAACGCGUGGGAACGUGCCCUUCAGUUCGGGAUAACCCAGGGAAACUUGGGCUAAUACCGGAUACGUGCGAGAGCAGAAAGAUUUAUCGCUGAAGGAUCGGCCCGCGUCUGAUUAGCUAGUUGGUGGGGUAAUGGCCCACCAAGGCGACGAUCAGUAGCUGGUCUGAGCGGAUGAUCAGCCACAUUGGGACUGAGACACGGCCCAAACUCCUACGGGAGGCAGCAGUGGGGAAUAUUGGACAAUGGGCGCAAGCCUGAUCCAGCCAUGCCGCGUGAGUGAUGAAGGCCUUAGGGUUGUAAAGCUCUUUCGUCCGGGACGAUAAUGACGGUACCGGAAGAAGAAGCACCGGCUAACUACGUGCCAGCCGCCGCGGUAA
rnacentral:rRNA from 1 species